rnacentral:piRNA from 1 species
UGGCAACCAGAUUGGUGAUGGCAGCUC